rnacentral:rRNA from 1 species
GAGGAAGAGCUUGCUCUUCCAAAGUUAGUGGCGGACGGGUGAGUAACACGUGGGCAACCUGCCUGUAAGUUGGGGAUAACUCCGGGAAACCGGGGCUAAUACCGAAUGAUAAAGUGUGGCGCAUGCCACGCUUUUGAAAGAUGGUUUCGGCUAUCGCUUACAGAUGGGCCCGCGGUGCAUUAGCUAGUUGGUAGGGUAAUGGCCUACCAAGGCAACGAUGCAU